rnacentral:ncRNA from 1 species
GUCGGGAGGGUGGCUAAUACAAGACCCCUCAUCCGGGGAAAUACGCCACGCCGUACGCACGCUUCCACGGUUUCGAACCUCCCGGCUCCCUUGC